rnacentral:rRNA from 1 species
GUGAGGAAUUUUCCGCAAUGGGCGAAAGCCUGACGGAGCAAUGCCGCGUGAAGGAUGAGGGCCUAUGGGUUGUAAACUUCUUUUCUCAGAAAAGAAUUAUGACGGUAUCUGAGGAAUAAGCAUCGGCUAACUCUGUGCCAGCAGCCGCGGUAAGACAGAGGAUGCAAGCGUUAUCCGGAAUGAUUGGGCGUAAAGCGUCUGUAGGUUGUUUAAAAAGUAUUCUGUCAAAGAUUAGGGCUUAACCCUAGAUAGGCAGAAUAAACUUUUAAGCUAGAGUUUGGUAGAGGCAGAGGGAAUUCCCGGUGGAGCGGUGAAAUGCGUAGAUAUCGGGAGGAACACCAAAGGCGAAGGCACUCUGCUGGGCCAAUACUAACACUGAGAGACGAAAGCGAGGGGAGCAAAUGGGAUUAGAAACCCGAGUAGUCC